rnacentral:rRNA from 1 species
AGGGGGAAAGUGGGGGAUCGCAAGACCUCACGUUAUUCGAGCGGCCGACGUCUGAUUAGCUAGUUGGUGGGGUAAAGGCCUACCAAGGCGACGAUCAGUAGCGGGUCUGAGAGGAUGAUCCGCCACACUGGGACUGAGACACGGCCCAGACUCCUACGGGAGGCAGCAGUGGGGAAUUUUGGACAAUGGGGGCAACCCUGAUCCAGCCAUUCCGCGUGAGUGAAGAAGGCCUUCGGGUUGUAAAGCUCUUUCAGCUGGAGUGAAACGGUGCGCUCUAACAUAGCGCGCUAAUGACGGUACCAGCAGAAGAAGCACCGGCUAACUACGUG